UGAUUUCCAGUCGCACCGCCUUACGCUAGAUAUUUCCAGCCGCUGCACGUAUCUGCACCUCAUUUACGCACCGUCCCUCUCUCUAUCUCUCUCGGUCUCUCCUCCCACCCCUCUUCCUCCCUCUUCCCAAUGGAGGCGGCGCCCUCCUCGCCUUUCCUCCCAGCUACACAUCUUGCUCGCUGGACGCCCCUCCUCCCCCUAUUUGAGGUCAUCGUUCUCGCCGUCACCUCAAGGACAUCGGAGAGCCAACCGAUUAGUGUGGAGAAGGAGCUGAUGUUGGCGAGCACCUCGAUCUGGAGAUCGUGUGCGACAACAGCAUGUGUCAGGAUUCGUCUUUCAGCCGCGUCGCCGCGAGGAGGAGAGCGCUGGAAGCCCGUGUCGGCAAAGUGCAUCGCUGGUUCUCUUGAUCGCGUGGCGUUACAUGGGCCCGUCUCCUUGGUCGUGUUCGUGUGUUGGGAUCUUCUCUGUGUUCCUUAUGGCGUUAGGUAGGGCCUCUCUGCUAGGCAGCACCGCAGUAGCUACAAUGCUGGUAGAAGCAAGCCAACAAUUACCUGCCAGAAGCUCUCCAUCUGGUCUCUAUUUUGCAGCCGGCGGCAACAACAACACUACCAAAGUAUGGUGCGCCCAGGCCUCAUGUCAUAAAUUUAUUUAGCCAUGCUCACUACAACUUUUUAGUUAAUUUCAGUUUUAGUGCUAAAUAUGUAUACGGUAUCGUUUAUAGGUGGUGCUGCAUUGUAGCUUUAUGGAAUCCUUUUGGACUUCAAAAACUAGGACCCGUGUAAACUGUUGGUGGUUUGUACUUCGUAGCUUCAUAAGAGUCAGACUAAUUACAUUUUUAAUGUCAUGAACUUAUUUUAUCCUCAUGGUUACCGCAAAGUAAGUUGUACAGUGUUGGUUUGAGCCAUUAAUAUGGCAUGACGAGGCACUGUUUUUGACACAUGUGUAAUUUUACAGGGUGGUACUCUAGAGGGAUCAAUGACGUUCAAUAGAAUGUCCAGAUUUUAAACAUAUAAAGUUUGAGGAAGGAUUAGUCUACUAUUGACUGUUUUGGUAUUGAAGGCUAGAGAAAAAUACACUGUCCGUUCCAAAAAUAAGUGUCGCGGCCUUAGUACAAAAUUUGUACUAAUUUAGUGUUAAAUUUGCGGCACUUAUUUUAUGACAGAGGGAGUACUAAGUAGUGGAUUUCAUCACCCAUGGAGAUUUUAUUUCACUCGAGAACUAUAUCUGUAUCACUUGCUCCACAACCAUAAAACUUCCACGUUUUGGACGUGUUCCCAUUUUCAAAACUUCAGAAGUGUGUUUGGUACAAUAUUUUGGUGUUAAGCCAAAUAAUGGAUUUAUUUUCUCCUCAUUUUGUAUGCAUGGAAAUAAUUGGCUGUUAUGAUUUUACAUUCCUUCGAGAUGCUGGGAGUUUAUGAAGUUUCAAAGAUGAUGACUUCCUUUUAUAUAGAUAAUGUAUUUAUUUUCUCCUCAUUUUGUAUGCAUGGAAAUAAUUGGCUCUUAUGAUUUUACAUUCCUUGCAGAUGCUACGAGUUUAUGAACUUUCAAAGAUGAUGACUUCCUUUUAUAUAGAUAAUGUAUUUAUUUUCUCCUCAUUUUGUAUGCAUGGAAAUAAUUGGCUGUUAUGAUUUUACAUUCCUUCCAAAUGCUACGAGUUUAUGAAGUUUCAAAGAUGAUGACUUCCUUUUAUAUAGAUAGAUCAUUUGCUCUAAACAUGACGCUUAUGAGAAACUGGAGUAACUUUACUCAUGUGCUUUGUGUCGCUUUCUUGAUUUUGAAGUUUACUUUGUAAAAAAUCGUUCAUGUGUUGGCUAAUGUAUCUACAAGGUAGCCCGGAAAGGUUGUAAAUUAUAUUUAAAAAAAGAUAAAGUAUGUUGUGUUUUAAAUCUGAAAGUGAAAAAAUUAGGCUUAUGAGGUAGUAGUUUUACCACUGCGCCAAGGUUCCCCUUCUUACUAUGAAUAUCUAUAUUCCUGAUAAAUUCAUCUCCUAUUACGUCCAUGUUUCGGUUUAGCCUGGGUAUUAUCCAGUGCUGGCCUAAUUUGACAUUGUUGGUUUCUCUUUUUUUUUUAGUUUCCAAAGAAGUUUUCGAAAUUCUCAAUAGCUCACCUUAAUUAUAUUCGUGUUCUCCCUAAAAACGUAUUUGAUGAUUUUCUUUUAAUAGUGUUGCACUUCGCUCUAUACUGGAAGCUCAUUCAACCAGUCAAGGCAAUGUUCAAUUCGAUCGCUUUCAUAUACAUUGUUUCUUCACCACACUGCUCAUGAUUGUUUUCAUUCCUAAUUAUGUUUCUUUUUGUCUGAUCCACUUGGUUCACCCAAAGAGAUAUUAUGCAAAUGUACUUCACUAUUUGUUUCAAAAGAUGCCUCUUUUUGUCUGAUCCAUUUGAUUCACCGAAAGAGAUAUUAUGCAAAUGUACUUUGCUAUUUGUUUCAAAAGAUGUCUCUUUUAGUCUGAUCCACUUGAUUCACCGAAAGAGAUAUUAUGCAAAUGUACUUCGCUAUUUGUUUUAAAAGAGUUUACUGCAUUUGUUGCUCACUAGAACAUCCCGGAAUAUUUUCCAAAGAAUUCUAUCAAUUCUUGUGAGUUAACCUAUCGAAUUGAUUUAUAUAUAGCUAUUUCAUACUCUGGUGCAUAUAUGCAGAAAAUAAAUUGUAUUGUAUGCAGGUUAUGAUGAUAAUACUGAGAAAGGUAGCACUGGUGCGGCUGUUGUAAUCUGGAUGGGUCUAUCAUAUUAUCUGUAUGUUCUUCUCUGAUGUUGUGACUUGAGGCUGAAGAACUUAAAAUUAUUGCCUGACUUCAAGACCUAAAAGCACUCACAAUAGUUGUGAUCCUCCCAUCAUUAUUGGCUGUUAUUUCUACUUUGAAGAAUGCAAUGCACAAUAGAUCUCGACUUCGUAAUUGUGAUCUGGAAACUAGGGACUCUUCGGAUAUAACUGAAUUUGUGAAGAUUCAUCGAACUGCUAAUAUGGUGGCUGUAUUGCCAGCACGAUUCUUACCAAUUUUGUAAAUUCUAAAACCAUGUAAUGAUUUUUUCCUCAAACUUCUCGCAAAAAUAAAAGAAUAUUUUUCUC